GACGAACGCUGGCGGCGUGCUUAACACAUGCAAGUCGAACGAUGAAGAAGAGAAACGCGAACUUCGGUUCAAAUUUCACUUCGGAUUAGUGGCAGACGGGUGAGUAACGCGUGAGCAACCUACCUCUUACAAAGGGAUAGCCUCGGGAAACCGUGAUUAAUACCAUAUGACACAUUCAUAAGGCAUCUUAAGAAUGUUAAAGCUACGGCGGUAAGAGAUGGGCUCGCGUCCCAUUAGCUAGUUGGUGAGGUAACGGCCCACCAAGGCGACGAGGGGUAACCGGCUGGGGGGGGGGACCGUUAAAAUUGAAACUGGGCCACGGCCCAAACUCCACGGGGGGGAGGAGAGGGGGAUAAUGGAAAAAGGAGGGAACUCUGAUGCAGCGACGCCGCGUGAGCGAUGAAGGAAUUCGUUUCGUAAAGCUCUGUUCUAUGGGAAGAAAAGGACUGUACCAUAGGAGAAAGCCCCGGCUAAAUACGUG
rnacentral:rRNA from 1 species